AUUGAACGCUGGCGGCAGGCCUAACACAUGCAAGUCGAGCGGAUGGACGGGGAUUGCUCCCGUAUUCAGCGGGCGACGGGCGGGUGAGUCAUAGGUAUCUGCCUGGCAGUUGGGGCUAAGGUCCGGAAAGGGGCCCGAAUACCGCAUCGGUCCAGAGGUAGAACGGGGGGGAUCAUCGGACCUCGCGCGAUUAGAUGAGCCUAGGCCGGAUUAGCUAGUUGGUUGGGUAACGGCGUACCAAGGCGACGAUCCGUAGCUGCUCUGAGAGGAUGAUCAGCCACACUGGAACUGAGACACGGUCCAGACUCCUACGGGAGGCAGCAGUGGGGAAUCUUGGGCAAUGGGCGAAAGCCUGACCCAGCAACGCCGCGUGAGUGAAGAAGGUCUUCGGAUUGUAAAACUCUGUUAUUAGGGAAGAACAGAAGUGUGAGAAACUCUGGACGUCUUGACGGUACCUAAUCAGAAAGCCCCGGCUAACUACGUG
rnacentral:rRNA from 1 species